rnacentral:rRNA from 1 species
AAGUAUAGCCAUAGAGGGUGAUAGUCCCGUAUGCGAAAAACAAAGCUUAGCUAGCAGUAUCCUGAGUAGGGCGGGACACGAGGAAUCCUGUCUGAAUCCGGGUCGACCACGAUCCAACCCUAAAUACUAAUACCAGAUCGAUAGUGCACAAGUACCGUGAGGGAAAGGUGAAAAGAACUGAGGUGAUCAGAGUGAAAUAGAACCUGAAACCAUUUGCUUACAAUCAUUCAGAGCACUAUGUAGCAAUACAGUGUGAUGGACUGCCUUUUGCAUAAUGAGCCUGCGAGUUGUGGUGUCUGGCAAGGUUAAGCAAACGCGAAGCCGUAGCGAAAGCGAGUCUGAAUAGGGCGCUUAGUCAGAUGCUGCAGACCCGAAACGAAGUGAUCUAUCCAUGAGCAAGUUGAAGCUAGUGUAAGAACUAGUGGAGGACUGAACCCAUAGGCGUUGAAAAGCCCCGGGAUGACUUGUGGAUAGGGGUGAAAGGCCAAUCAAACUUCGUGAUAGCUGGUUCUCUCCGAAAUAUAUUUAGGUAUAGCGUUGUGUCGUAAUAUAAGGGGGUAGAGCACUGAAUGGGCUAGGGCAUACACCAAUGUACCAAACCCUAUCAAACUCCGAAUACCUUAUAUGUAAUCACAGCAGUCAGGCGGCGAGUGAUAAAAUCCGUCGUCAAGAGGGAAACAACCCAGACUACCAGCUAAGGUCCCUAAAUCUUACUUAAGUGGAAAACGAUGUGAAGUUACUUAAACAACCAGGAGGUUGGCUUAGAAGCAGCCAUCCUUUAAAGAAAGCGUAAUAGCUCACUGGUCUAGUGAUUUUGCGCGGAAAAUAUAACGGGGCUAAAGU